rnacentral:rRNA from 1 species
CAGACGAUGCGUCAUGCAUAUCAAUAAGCGGAGGAAAAGAAACUAACAAGGAUUCCCUUAGUAACGGCGAGUGAAGCGGGAAGAGCUCAAAUUUGAAAUCUUCAAGGUUUUACCUUGACGAAUUGUAGUUUAAAGAAGUGUUUUCUGCUGAAGUUUUGGUAAAAGUUCUUUGGAAUAGGACAUCAUAGAGGGUGAGAAUCCCGUAUUUGACCAUUUACUUUCAGCUUUGUGAUACACUUUCAAAGAGUCGGAUUGUUUGGGAAUGCAGUCCAAAAUGGGUGGUAAAUUUCAUCUAAAGCUAAAUAUUGGCGAGGACCGAUAGCGAACAAGUACCGUGAGGGAAAGAUGAAAAGAACUUUGAAAAGAGAGUUAAACAGUACGUGAAAUUGUCAAAAGGGAAGCGUUUGACACAGUGUUGUUUUCUCGAAAAUCAAUUAAAAAUGGCUCGACUUUGUAUUGCUGAGACCUUAAAAGUUCACUGUACAUUUUUCGUGUCUUUUUUAAUGCACUUUUCGUUUAACAAGUUAACAUCAGUUUCUUUUGUUGUAAAAGGGUCAUUGGAAGGUGGCUUUCUUUUCGGAGAAAGUGUUUAUAGCCUUUGGCCUCUGCAAUCGGAGAGACUGAGGUCUGCAGCGUAGACUCUUCGGGGUUAGAUACAUUUGUGCUAAGUUAUAGCUUUUUAUAGACAGCUUGUUGACUAUAAUUAGUCUUGUAGCUUACUCGCUUAUGCUAUUUUACCUACGCUUAGGAUGUUGACGAUCAGCUGAGCGCG